ensembl:lncRNA
AGAUACUCUGACGCGUUCGCCCCCACCAGAACAAGAAUUACACCAUGUUGCAGUAGAAUCGGCUCAAAAGACUAAAAAUAAAAGAUGGACUAACUGUCACGUUACCGGACGGGACGUCGGCGGUGUGGGGGCCGAGACCAGAUGGAAAGGGCAAUACCUGGUACAACAGGGGUCGACAAUGGCGAUACACGAGACUACCACAGGGGUUCUCGCUUUCGCCUAGCAUAUUCAACCAGGUACUGAGAGAAGCGCUGCAGGGAUGCUCACUGCUGACAGGGCUAACUUUGGUCCAGUACAUAGAUGACCUGCUGCUGGCAGCCCCGACGGCGGCAACCUGCAUCCAAGCUACAAUGACGGUCCUCACCAGACUGGCUGAGAAAGGGUUCAAGGUGUCGAAAGAAAAGCUACAGUUGGAUUCACCAACAGAGUCGGAGAAAGGAAGAACCUGCCCCAGGCGGAGUGGGUGCUGCUCAAGGUCAUCAAGUGGUCAGAGCUAAGGUGGACGGGUCCUCAUCAGGUGGUGGAGAGAACGAGCCAUGCGGUCCGCCAGAGGGGCAAGGGAGAGACGUGGUACCAUUGGAGCCAGUGCACACCAGCGCAGGAGCCAGGGUGGUCGCUGACAGACCUCAUCCAAACCGGGAAGGAGGAGCUCACCCCAGUGUGGACGGAAGGAGGACCAAAACCAGCCGGACCGGUGCCCGUUGCGGACCCCAGGAUACUGCGGGACUACGAGUGAAAGAAGGAGACAAAGGACGGCGCCAAGGGAAUAGACUUUUACGGGAAGGAACUGAAGAAUACUGUUACAAAAGGGGGUAUAGGACACACUCGUACCAAGAUGACAGGGUUACAGAGAAAGGUCUGGGGAGAUGAUAAGAGAAUGAAGUGGUACAUGGGCAUUAGUGGAAUAAUGAUAUGUGUGUUGUAUGUUGCUACAGGUUUCCCAGGUUGGCAUCGGGUCUCCACUCCCCCAGCGAAGAGGUUCGCGACCCCACCUGAGGACACCUGCUUGAGGAAAUAUGGGGGCAUUGAAUUGGACUAUGUCAAGGGGUCGCAUACGAGCAUUCUGGGAUAGAUAAUCCGCUGGAGGAAUGGAUGAUCUCGAUGUUCGGCCAGUGGAGAGGUUUGAUAAUGUCUGUUCUUUUAUCGCUAUCUACAUUUGGUGCUAUAAUGGUUACUUGUGUGUGUUGUUGUAUCCCAUGUAUAAGAGGCCUCGCCAUGAGAGUGAUCUCUACAGCCAUCGAGAAGGCUCCAGGACCGCCACCAGGGAUGCUGAUGCCUCUACUGGAAGAGCACGACCAGGGGGAACUGGAGCUAGGAGAAUUGGGGUGAUCUCUCUGGGGAGAGAUCAAAAGGGGGAAUUGUGGAUAGACUGAAUGUAUAAGCUGUCAAACUGUUGUGAGCAUUGAAGCAAAAUGUUGAAUGUCUGUAGCAUAAGCUGAAACUGAAAGUUGCUAGUAGAAAACAGGAAUUCUUAUUUAGGCUGUUGCUGGGGGAAAAAGAGCUGACCAAGCUUGUGUCUUACAGGAAACAGAGGGGGACAGAUUAAUAACACACACACAUAGUCUGGGCAGGGGUGAAUUAAGCAGAAACACAAGAUAGAAAACACAAGAGCAAGAUGACGGUUGGGCUGCACUUACACAUAUAAGGUAAAGAAUAUAAAUUGGACCAUGGUUUAAAUGCACAGACCACGCCAAUCAUCCCAUAAAACAUGAAAGGUUAACAACCACCAGUUGUAGGACAUCUGUUGUAGCACUUGUCAGAACAUAAAUUCCCAGGGGGGUUUAUAGAAUUGCUGGACCCUGGUACCCAUUUGUUGAACACCAAUCUUCUUGCCGCUGAUAUAACACUUAUUUAUUGCCUGGGAAUUAAACAUUCCGGAACCCUAAGACCCAUUUUUUAAACAUCAAACAUAAUACACCUGGUAUAACACUCGUCCGGGGUGCUCAUCAGUCGUUGGAAAACAUCAAACACAGACACAUCAAUGUAAUCAUAAAUUACAAAGUCAACGGACAUGCAUACGUGUUGUGGAAAUUUCUAUAUACAAUGUAUUCUAACUGAGUAAAGGACUGAGUCCCACUGUUAAGAUAGGUACAGGAAUGUGUGGGAUCUGGUAUUUGCAUAGGGGACAUCUAUUAUCUGUCCAGAUGGAGAUCAAUGGGUUUUAGGACAGGAUAGGAGAAGAUACAACAGGGGGCAGUAAGGUCAGUUGGCCCUUUGGGUAAACACUACAGUAAACAUUAUGGCAGGAAGGAUAAGGUGGGGGAAGAUAGCAUUUGACUUGUGUGAUAGAACAAAGGGAAAGGUGUUUGAUUGACAUGAAACAGAUGGCAGCAUCUUACCACACCCCUUUUCCUAUGUAAUAAAUACUAUCGAAAUGAUGUUUUUAUUUAGAGACUAUCCACUGUUACUUUGUAACCUGUAUACUUUCUCCUUGCAAGCAAGAUUAAAACUGUUUAUUGCGCAAUUGAUUUCUCCUGUCUUACCUACCAUUUUCAUAGAACUUUGGAUUUUA